AUGUAAUCGAUGUAGUGAGAGCAUCUGUAGUACUUCUUCACUUCCGAUUUGAAUUUUCGACUGUCGCAAAACCUUAUCAGCAGGGCUGUUGACCUUUCUACAAAAGGAGAAAGAGGAGUCGGUAAGAGGUAGCAGACACCAGAUAGACUAGAGAAGUUCCCACCCCUCCGAGGUCUGAAGUCCGAGAUCACCAAAAAAAAAAAAAAAACCAGACAUAUUGUUAAGCUGAUGUAAUUUAAGACGCAGUUGCGCGAUUGUCCCAGGAGAGGACGAAGAUCGAAGAUCCCUGGAUGAAUGUGGAUGGAUGGCAGCAGGCAAUGACUUAGCGUCAAGCUGUCUCGAUCUUGGGCUGGCUUUAUCCUUAUCUAUGCAGUUCAUUAUCUACCAAACGAAAGCACAUGCUAAUUUAUAGACAACGUGAUGUUGUUUUGCUCAUUUCCUCCGCAUUUUUUUUCUCGUCGCUUUUCAUAUUUUGUGCAUAAACAAAGUCAAGUGAUUUGAUUUUUUGGCCAACGCGACGGCGACGCCGCUUCUCAAUCGGAUUCACCGAAUGUGGGUCAUCGACGUCAGCGGAGAUGGGGGUCUUAUUUGCUUCGGAAGAUUCCCUUUGUUAGGGCAGUUCACUUGUUGAUGGGCGUUUGGUAAUAGAUAACAAAAAUGGUCAAGUAGUACUUGUAUAUCUGCGAGUUUUCUU
ensembl:ncRNA lncRNA:CR45372 long non-coding RNA:CR45372